rnacentral:rRNA from 1 species
GACGAACGCUGGCGGCGUGCUUAACACAUGCAAGUCGAACGGAAAGGCCCCUUUGGGGGUACUCGAGUGGCGAACGGGUGAGUAACACGUGAGUAACCUGCCCUUGACUUCGGGAUAACUUCAGGAAACUGGGGCUAAUACCGGAUAGGAAUCCUUGCUGCAUGGUGGGGGUUGGAAAGCUUCGGCGGUUUUGGAUGGACUCGCGGCUUAUCAGCUUGUUGGUGGGGUAGUGGCUUACCAAGGCUUUGACGGGUAGCCGGCCUGAGAGGGCGACCGGGCACAUUGGGACUGAGAGACGGCCCAGACGCCUACGGGAGGCAGCAGUGGGGAAUAUUGCACAAGGGGCGGAAGCCUGAUGCAGCAACGCCGCGGGCGGGAUGACGGCCUUCGGGUUGUAAACCGCUUUCAGCAGGGGCGAAGCUUGUGGUGACGGUACCUGCAGAAGAAGCACCGGCUAACUACGUG